UUACUCUGUAGAAAAUCUUGCUGUUAGAGAAGAUAAUAUACAAUAUAUUCUAGGAUAGCAGUUGUCAUUUUUACCCCAGUCUUAAGUAACCAUUCACAUGAAUACAUAUUGCACUAUUGGUAUUCCCCUCCAAAACAGAAGACAUUUGCAGACUGCAACUUUUUGUUGUUGCAGAAAGCAGCCUCCAUUCCUCUUCCCUCUUAGAAACAUAAGACACCUAUACUCAUGGACACAGAUGGGACUAUGCACACAUUGGCAAAAAAGGCUGUGGUUAUGAUAGUGGUUGGGAUGUUCUCUGCAAACACUUCCAUCUAUUAUCAGUUUACCCUCAUGGGCAACGACAAUGCCAGCACAACCCUGUGAUUUGCUGACUACACCCACAGAAUCUCUCUUGUGCCCUGCGAGUGGGUGGGUGAGGUGUGGUUAGAGGAAGAGAAGCAGAGAGAUUUUAUCAGAGGAAGUAUUCAGGUAGCGGCUCACAGUGUGUUGAUGUUAGAGCGAGUCAGUCAGUCUGGGAGAGAUGUACUGUAAAAGGUAAUUAAAGGCCCUGCAUCAGAACAUCACAACGGCUGUUGUCAUGGAGACUGGCAAGCAGGGCUUUGUGAAUGUUUCUGUGCUUGGCAGCUCAGUCUCAGCGCAGAGAGAAAACAGGAUGCACGUCCAGGCCCCACCGACGACUAUGCUCAUCCACACGAUACCUGCUGCGCCACCACAUCCCCGGGCACAGAUACACCCACAAGCCCAGCUACCUGCAGCCACCCAGGAAUCUGCCCACCAGCAUCUGCCAGUGCCGCCUCUAUAUGCCAAAGAGACACUUCCCUUCCUGACGCUCCAUUUCCCUGGAGGGCUAGAGCUUCAUCAGGGACCUAGCCCAGCGACAGCCGUGUCUGCAGCCAGACCCAAGUCUACAGGGAAGCAUUUGUGCCCUCAUUGUGGCCGGGACUGUCUGAAACCCAGUGUGCUGGAGAAGCACCUGCGCUGCCACACCGGGGAAAGGCCUUACCCUUGCACUACCUGUGGCGUCUCCUUCAAGACCCAGAGCAACCUCUACAAGCACAAACGCACCCAGGCCCAUGCCCGCCUCUCAUCUGAGUCUGAGCAGAGCAGUUUAGGCAGCCAAGACAGCUUGAGCAGCUCUGGGGAUACUUAUACCACCAGCCUGUCUUUAGAUGUCCUCAGUGGGGACUCUGGGAAUCAAAACAUGGAGGUUAGUGCAUCUCUCUGUCAAGCCAUCUCUCCAGUUAGCUCUGUGCUGCCCCCUACUGCUCAGGUUGGUCUAGAGACAGGCUGGGCCCUGCACCAGGCUGCUUUGGUGGGCCUUAUUCUUGCACCUGGAAAUGACCAUAAUGUCCAAGGUACAAAAUCUGAGGGUAUGAAUUACUUUGAUAAGACAAAUGAAGAAGAGAAAGAUAAAACAAUUGAAAAUACAAAGCCUCGACUGGCUCCAAAUCGUCAUCUCCCCCUCCAGAGGCAAGAGGCAACCCUGUUUUCCAAACAUUGGGAGAAUUCUGUAUCAAGAGGAAAAUCCCAGAGCCAUGACAGCACAGAUUCCGGAUUCAGUGAGAGUAUUGAGCAGCCCUGGACCACCAGUCCUGGGAUUGUGCUGCCUGACCACAGUAUGGAGUCCCUUGUUGAGUCCAGUCUGGAAGUCCACAGCCAGCCUAACACCACCCACAUCUCCACCAAGCCUGACCUUACUACUUCAGAGACCAAAUCCAGUGUAUCAGAGCAGGAACAGAAGAAACUGGAGGAAAGGAUCUCCAAACUGAUAUCUGAGAAUGAUGCAGUAGUGGAUGAUAAACACCUGGAAAACGUGAGGCCUCGGAAGACAAUGUUGUCCAAGCAAGGGAGUAUUGACCUCCCCAUGCCAUACACCUACAAAGACUCAUUUCACUUUGAGAUAAAGACCAGCAAACCCUCUAAUGCUGCAUUAAGUUGGCAGAAAGCAGACCGAGGGACAGCCCUGUAUAGCUCUGUGCCCAGCCAACACUCCUCCAGCGUAGAACAUGCUCCCCUGACACGCAGCAGUUCCCUGCCCUUCAGCGUGGGAAUUCAGCACUCAGAGAGGAGCAGCACAGCCUCUCCCCAGAACAGAGAUUUCAUAACUUUAGCCAGAAGAGGCAGCUCGGGACAUACAUACCCAGCAGGCUUUGGCACAAAGUCUGUAGACCAGCAGGUGUCCAAUCAUCGCCCACUAGUACGCCAGGCAGCCAUGGACUGCAACCCGGCAACAGAAGGCCUCGCUUUGACAUCAUCACUGGAGGAGGUCUUUCCCAACAGUCUUUGCUCAGAUGGCGACAGCAACGACAUUUGUGUGGAGCCAAGCAGCCAAAAGUGUCGCAGGAAGAAAUCACAGAAGUUUGCCUACAACAAAUGGUACAUGUAUGGGGGUGGAACUUUUAAAAAGCUGUACAGUACAGACAAAGUUGAGAAUAAUACUGUUCUCAAGGCUAGAAAGUCAAUGCCGAGCCAAGAGCAUGAGGUGGUCCAGGGGAUUCAGAGAAGGGGCUCAUUAAUGCACAGGGAGCUUGUCACAUCAGUGGGGUCUACAAAAGACUGCACUGCAACAGUGUGUCACCCAUCCAGCCUUCCAGCCAACUUGCCCUCUGUCCCAUGUGGGAAUGUAUAUCAAACAGGCAGCCAUCUUGAUUCCUCGUUUACUACGCUGAAAACAACCUUUGUGGAAAAACUGUCUCUGUCAACACAUCCACCAACCACUGGAGCAGCAAAUGCUAAGAGUACAGAAUCUGUUGCAGAGAGUGUAACGCAUGGGGGAAAACACACUGGCAGUGUCUCGCUACAUCAACAUUGUACAAGAUAUAUUCACUCAGAGACUAAGAAGCAGAGAACUGACAACAACAUAUGUUCACUGGGGACGCAGUUUGACCCCAACGCCAGUAAAACUGUGAUGCUCCCUGUCAAUACUGGUAUGACCUGCUCUGCUUCGUGUGUGAUGAACACCAACAGAACCUAUGUGAGCACUUCAUUCUCCUCUAACAACCCUACUGCCACUAAAACCAACUUUCUACCAAAGUACCAGCUGAAGCUACCCAACACAACAGACUCAGACUCUUCAUCACUGACCUUAAAUCAACCCACUGGUAUAAUUAGCCAUAACACCAUCUGUACCAUGUCCUCCUGCCAGACAUCAAGAACUAUAACAACUGGAAAGAAAGACAUUCCAUCCUCAGAAUCCUCAUGUAUGGAUCAGAGUCAGACAGUUAUGUCUCCACCAACAACAGUUGAAAAACAGCCAUCUACCAACAAAGCCUUAGUAGAAAGUGAGACUGUCACAACAACGACAAUUUUAGUCAAGGAAAGGGAUGCAAAACCACCCACCACAUAUAUACAGCAUCCACCUGUUGUGGCUUUUGCAGAGAACCUCUCUGCUACAUGUACGCCUAUCACAACCUCAGUUAGGAAUCUGACUGUUGCACCCAGUACAGUUUCCACUAAUAAUGUCUCAUUAAUAUCAGAGAACAGUUUUACUGAAGAGUUGAACACAGCUGCCAUACCUUGUCACAUUAUUCCAUACAAUGACUCAGAGUGCUCAGCUGCCCAGAAUGUAUUUCAUGUUCGGACGGCAGAUCUCCAGAUCUGCCUGGAGAUCAUAUCUGAUGAGCAGCUGGCUCUCAUAGAGCCCCAGAUUGAAAGGCAAGGCCAUACAAUUGGGUCUGGAUUGUUUACCCAUAGUGAAGAAACAAGGACCAAUUCAAAGGACCCCACACACGAAGAACAAAGCCAUUUUACCUGGGCAACAGUGAAUAUAAAUGCAGAUUUGGGGCCUAAAAAGGCUGAAUCUCAAAAUCAGGUUAAGUUGUCAUCCUCAGAAGGUUUUCAGAACAUCAAAUCCUUAUUACCAGAACGUUUUCAUCAGAUGGAUCAAAACAUUGCUGAUAAAGACCACAACAAUAGAAGGCAGACAGAGAGACUGUUCAAAAUUGAAUCUACUCCUUUAACUAACACAGGACAACCGACACAAUUCUUACAGGUUUCAACCACAUCACCAGACCCAUUAUUUACCCCUGGAACUCAUAAACACAUGCUUCUACCAACACAGAAGAACCGAGCGGGGGUUUUGUCAGCUCCUGUCUCCUCAAAAGGUGUGAAAUCAGAAAGGAGCCAAACACAGGAAGAAAAUGUCCUCCCGAAGAAGCCUAUUAGCCAAAAGGGCCAGGUUUCUGAUGAGCUGCCUGGCCAACACAAAGUCUGCCUGGUAGCCAGCUCCUCAUUGUCAUCUUCUACAGCAGCAAAGAGCAUCUCAGGAAGUGGAUUACAGGAAGAUGAUAGCCAACACAAAUCUCUAAAUCAAAGAGCCACAUGUAACAUGGACAAGAUGAAAACUAAGAAUACAACCCUGGAACAAGAAGCCCCUACUUCAGAUGGAAUGCCUAGAGAAUCCUAUCUGCCCCUGCAGUCAUGCUCUGGUCAGAAGGCUAAUGCUGAGAGCAGUGUCACUUUCCCCAAAAAGGAGCCUUCUAUUUUCCAGAACAAAGCCUUUAAACCUUAUGGAGAACCCGACUCAAAAGAAAUACAAGUCCAUAAUAGUUUCAUGGAAUUUGAACCUGUGAACUCAAAGAUCUAUUCUAGUUCCACAAUGUCAUCAAAAACAUUUGGUGUGGGCCAUAUCAACAUCGAAACUCUGGAUGUACAUGUACCUUUGCCAUGCCAGGCUCAGUGUAAAUCAGAGGAACACAGAGACUCACAGCUGGUCCAGUUUACCUUUGAGCCUUACAGCAUUCAUGAGGAAAGGCCCAAACAUGCCCCUGGUGUCUCUUUAUCCAAUCAAGACCCAACAACAGGUAGGUAUACAGGUGUUUAUCAAAUUGUAUUAGUUAUUCUUAGUUUAUGCAGCAUCAUGCAGUUGUGAGCACAAUCAAGUUUACAAAUUGUCAGAAAUCUGAUAUUUCUAUUUGAAUUACCUCUUUCCUCCACAAGGGGGUAGUAAAUGAUCAUGGUUCUUGUCGGAUUCUCUUUGAAAUGAGAAGUCAUAAAACUUGUCACAACACCUUUUGCUGAAAAGACCAAUGAGUUUUGUACAAAAUAAAUAAAGACAGCUGACAUUCCAUCUUUAACUGCCUCAAAAGGCACCCUGAAUAAACAGUAAGAACACAUGACCUCUAUGAUGUUAAUGCAGGAGUUACACCUACAGCUUAGGUAAGUCAGCUGACAACUGAGCUUUAGAUAGUCUCAUAUAGGGAUAUUUCUUUAUACCAGUCUAAAGUCUCGAUACCUACACUCUGUGGGAAUGUGUAGGCUUUAUUGGUUAUGAUUUCGAACCUCUUUCAUUGGUUCAGUAAUGCAAAAAUAUGAAUAAUUUAUAAUGGUUUGAAUAUGUUAUUUAGUAGUUCUUUAAUUAUCUGCAAAUCACCACCAAAGGAUGAUUAUUAUGAGGUAUUGUCCACAGUCAAAACAAAUACCCCACCGGGCACAGAGAGUAAGAGUUGGUUCACACUUACAAGUCGUCUUGGCUUGACUAGGCAGUGGUGUUUUGACUGAUCAAAUGCUUUCAGGAACAACAGAGGAGCCUCUGGAGGUCAGAGGAAGUGCCUUCCCCCGAGGUUCCUCACACAGCAGACCCCUGGGUUACAGAGGAUUCGGCCUCUGUCUCCUUUCCAGACAGCUGACAUGCAAUUUGAAAUAUAAACGCAGACUAGUCUUAAAGCAACUCUGCACAGAGGCACGCGCUCAAGUUCAGCCAAACCAAAUAGACCCUGAGUAUCAGACCAGUUGUUUUUUCACCAAGACAAUUACUGCUAUAUCUCCUCCUUCAUAGCUAUCUACCGAACAUAAUAUAUACUGUCCACAUGUUAGUCUCAGUCUCAGAUAUGCAAUCGCUACAUAUUCAUUAAUUUGGUUGACAUUAGGUUUGCAAUGAAGCGUAAUGUUUUUUGGUUUCAUUUUAUUUUAUGGCAUUUUCUGCUUUAUGGGAUAGACAGUGAAAAAUGACAGGAAAUGUAGGGGAAAGAGAGAGAGGGGAGGACAUGCAGAAAAUGGUCUGAGGAGGAUUUAAAUCCAGGCCCCUGCGGUAAAGCAUCAGCCUAUGUGGUUCUCACACUUGACUGGUGAGCCACAGGGAGCCCCCAAGGCAUACCAUUUAAAUAAUAUAAUGUUGGAGCUAUACUGUGAUUACAGUCAAUACAUGUCUUCUUUAGUUAAAGCUUGGGACUCAAAAUCAUGUCAGACAUUUUUCUUAUAUUCUGCAUUGUGAAAUCCAAAGAGGUUUGUUUCUUCCAUUGCAAAAUAUAGUGUGUAAUGUAUGUCAGCACACUCAUUAACUGAAAGUGACUGUAAAUAAGUUUACAUUUGUUGUUGUGAUUGUUUAUUUGGUCAGACAUUUACUACAUGUAUCUAUCAAUCAUGUUAUUGACUGAAAUACCAUAGCAUUACAAAGUCGGAAUGAUCUCCAUAAUUUAAAUCACAUUUCACUGACUGGAUAUCGUUCCAGACAAGCCAAACUCUAAAUAUGAAUGAAGGACAGGAUCAUAAAACAGUUGUGAACUCAUGUUCACCCCCCUGGUCCCCUAACCUCCACAAACACGUACAAACAUACACAAUACAAAUGCUUUUAAUUUGUUGUUGUGCCCUUAGGGGAUGUAGAGAGAGGCUGCCUGACAGGAGAUUCUAUCCAAAGGGAGAAUGGAAAACUAGGCCUUCAGAGGCCUCUUUGGCAACCCGACAACGCAGCCACGGAGUCCAGGGAGAGAAAGGUUUUUGGAGAACCAGACAACCAACACGCUGAGCAACAACAGAGUAGAG